rnacentral:rRNA from 1 species
UUCUUUAAGAACUUAUUUAAAGUAAAACCUGCUCCAUGUACCCAUUAAUAGCCGCAGUUUACUGUGCUAAGGUAGCAUAAUCAUUAGCCUUUUAAUUAAAGGAUCGUAUGAAAGGUUAAACGAAAUUUUUUCUGUCUCCGCAAUAAACAUUAAUUUUGUAUUCUAGUUAAAAACCUAGUAUUACCAAUAAGACGACAAGACCCUAAUAAACUUUUUAUUUUGCUGGGGCGGCACAAACAAAAACACCUUAACUUAAACCACCCAACAAAUCUAUUACAAAUAAUUAAGAUACAGUUACUAUAGGGAUAACAGCGCUACUUUUUUCUAAAGAUCAAAUUUAAAAAAAUCCUACGACCUCGAUGUUGAAUUAAUUUAUCUCCUAUAAAGCAAUAUUUUAGAAAGACAGUCUGUUCGACUAAUAAAAAAUU